rnacentral:rRNA from 1 species
GUCUUUUUGAUUAUAAUAUAAAGUYUAAUYUGCUCAAUGAAUUUUAAAUAGCCGCAGUAUUUUGACUGUGCAAAGGUAGCAUAAUAAUUAGUUUUUUUAUUGAAAACUGGAAUGAAGGAUUGGACGAGAAAAAUUCUGUCUCUUUAUAAUUUUUAUUUAAUUUAUCUUUUAAGUGAAAAGACUUAAAUUUUUUUAAAAGACGAGAAGACCCUAUAGAGUUUAAUUAUUAUAUUUAUUUAAGGAAUUAAUAAAAAUUGAUAAUUUGGUUGGGGUGACUUAAAGAUUUAAUUAAUUCUUUAAAUUUAAAUCAUUUAUUUUUGAAUAUAAAAUCUAUAUUUUUAAUUUUAAAUAAAAUUACCUUAGGGAUAACAGCGUAAUAUUUUUUUUGAGUUCUUAUUAAAAGAGAAGUUUGCGACCUCGAUGUUGGAUUAAAGUAUAAUUUGGGUGUAGAAGCUUAAAAUUUAAGUCUGUUCGACUUUUAAAACUU